GUCACGAUGACCUAAGUGGUUAGAACGUCCACCUCAAAUGCGGGAGGUCGCAGGUUCGAACCCUAUUCGAGUCAUACCAAAGACU